UGUGACCCGUCUUGCCAAACGCUGCCCCGCGUGCUAGCUAGUCCGCCGUCCGGUCCCCUCUCCCGAAACCUCCUGCAGCUCCAGCAAUGGCACGGAAGAGCGAAGGGAAGAAGACCAGAACCAAAAGAGACCCACCUUCCUCCACCACGGUUCCUCCCCCGCCGCCGGUGGAGCCACAGGCUACGGCGCCGGACAUCUCGAUCGAAGUGCUCGCCGAGUUCGACAUCUUCAGCAUUCUCCGCCGUCUCUGCCUCGCCGACCUCCUCCGUGCCGCCCUCGCCUGCCACCGCUGGCGCCGCCUGGCCGCCAGCUGCCUCCCACGCGCCCCUCCUCUCCUCGGCCACUUCUUCCACCCAACGGAAGUCAAUCCCCCGUUCCCGCUGGAGGAAACCAAGGAUCCCGACACCCCCGCCGUGUUCGCUCCCCUCGACGCCUCCUCCCCGCGCCUCUCCCUCGACUUCGCUCCGGACGCCGUCCGCUUCUACCUCUACGACUCGCACCGAGGCCUCCUGCUUUGCGAGCCGUCCGACCCCCUUCCCAAGAAGGUCAUCCCCCGCUUCCUCGUCCUCGACCCGGCCACCCGCCGCCGCACGCUCCUCCCGCCCCCGCGCCGCGACACGGUGCCCGAUGACCGCCGCUGGCGCAGCUCGAGGUACUACAUCGGCUCCGCGCUGCUCUCCCGCGCUCACCAGAGCAAGCUCUGCUUCGAGGCUGUCUGCUUCGCCAUCGACGGCGACCACCCUCGCGCCUGGGUCGCGUCCGUCGACAACGGCGACUGCAGCUGGCGCGCGCUCCCGCGGGACGAGGAUGUCGUGGUCGAUUUCGACCCCUGGCUGUUCGAAGGACGCUGCGUGCACGCCGCCGGGAAGAUAUACUGGCACAUCUGCAACUCUGAGCGCGUGCUCGUGCUGGACCCUGUCACGCUCAGGUUCUCCUACCUGCCGGCGCCGCGCGCGCUGCGAAUCGACGCGCUGGCUGUGUGCAAGUACCGCGUCGGGGAGACGCCGGAUGGGCGGGUUUGCUUGGUCACGGACGGCCAGCAGCAGCUGCAUCUCUGGGUGCGCGGGGAGGGCAUGUCGAGCGACAACGGUUGGCUUCUGGAGAGGAGGAUCGUGGACUUGAGCGCGCUGUGCGACAUGAUUCCUGGCAUGCCCAGCAACCGGAUGCUCAGGACCCAUUGCAUCUGGCCCACCGACAUGGACGCCGGUCGCACAGGGAAGGUGUUCAUCAAGACCUGGGGAUUUGGGCGCUACACGUACGAUCUCCACACCGGCAAGAUGGAGCGCCUGCCGACGAGAAGCGGCAAGGACUAUGCGCACCCCGUCUUCGCCUACUCCCUGGCAUGGCCGCCCACGUUCCUCGCUCCAGAGGACUGACUUCGGUAAACCCUGUCGCCAUUUUUGUCCAGCGAUGUUGCUCGCUCUUUUGCACACUCGGAUCAGUGUUUUUGUCAUGUGUUUGCUUGCAGUAGUUUGUUCCAUGUGCAUAAUACCAUGAGUAAGUCAAGUGCAGUGGCUUUGGAGGCACAAGUGUAUCCAUGUAAGGUUAUAGGCAGUUCUUCUUGCAAGAUAGCCGUGUGGCGACUUGUAAAGGAACUGGCGCAUCCUAUUUUGAAGUCAGCUCUUGAUACGCAGGUCAUCACUUCCUCAUUGUGUGCCAUCUCUCUCGGGGAAGCUCUGAUUAUCUUGGCCUGUAUGAGGCCAUUUAAGCAAUCUUUUGAUGCUAUGCUAUCCAAGCAUCAUUUGGAUCCGAUGAUAUUCAGCAAGGCGUACUGUUAAAUUAAAUUACGCUUGUUUUGGACAAUCCCUUGCUUUAGUCUAUUCAGUAAUAUUGAUUGAGUUUUGACUUUCCUA